rnacentral:rRNA from 1 species
AGCGUAGACGGCAAUGCAAGUCUGGAGUGAAAAUCCGGGGCUCAACCCCGGAACUGCUUUGGAAACUGUGUAGCUAGAGUGCAGGAGAGGUAAGCGGAAUUCCUAGUGUAGCGGUGAAAUGCGUAGAUAUUAGGAGGAACACCGGUGGCGAAGGCGGCUUACUGGACUGUAACUGACGUUGAGGCUCGAAAGCGUGGGGAGCAAACA